CGAUCAAGAUCGGAACUUGACCGCAAACUCGAACGAGGAAAGUUACACGGGUAUCAGGAUUGAACUAUCAUUACUUGUCUAGAGAGAGAGAGAGAGAGAGAGAGAGAGAGAGAGAGAGAAAAGAAGGGUGUGACCUUGUCUGUGCAUGGGAGAAAUACCAGGGACAGUCAUUGUGCUUGAAGUAGUAGCUGCUUGGAUUGCCUUCCA